rnacentral:rRNA from 1 species
CCUACGGGUGGCAGCAGUGAGGAAUAUUGGUCAAUGGACGCAAGUCUGAACCAGCCAUGCCGCGUGCAGGAAGACGGCUCUCUGAGUUGUAAACUGCUUUUGUACGAGGGUAAACACUGAUACGCGUACCUUUCUGCAUGUACCUUACGAAUAAGAAUCGGCUCACUCCGUGCCAGCAGCCGCGGUAAUACGGAGGAUUCAAGCGUUAUCCGGAUUUAUUGGGUGUAAAGGGUGCGUAGGCGGUCGGAUAAGUUAGAGGUGAAAUCCCGAGGCUCAACUUCGGAAUUGCCGCUGAUACUGUCAGGCUAGAGAGGAGGUGCGGUAGGCGGAAGGCACGGUGUAGCGGUGAAAUGCUGAGAGAUCAGACAGAACACCGAUUGCGAAGGCAGCUUACCAGGCGAAGUCUGACGUUGAGGCACGAAAGCGUGGGGAGCAAACAGGAUUAGAUACCCCAGUAGUC